rnacentral:lncRNA from 11 species
UUGCAACAAAAUCUAAAGGGCCAAAUGUGUAAGGCCAUAGUUUGGGGACCCCUGGGUUAAACCCUUGUGCUGGCAGGACUGAUGACUUGAAGGUUGAUGUGUUGUCGAAGGCUUUCAUGGCCGGGAUCACAGGGUUGUUGUAUGUGGCAACUUCUGGCUAAUGAUUAAGCUUUGGUGCUUUGCUCUGUGCUCUUUUCUCUGAGUCAGGCAGGGCGAGUGAUUCAGAAGAGGGGGAAGGGGAAAAGAGAGAGAGAAAACGUGCCACUCGUUCACUUCCUUGUUUGUCAUAUUACUCUCAGCAUGACAAUUGCACAGGCAGCCAAGGAUGCUGUUGGGACUCCACUCUUAUUUUUGCUUUUAUGCAGACUCUUGCAUGGCUUAUCGACUUACGGAGUCAAAGUUCAUUUUCCGUUGUCAAAUGCCAGGUUGUUAUCACAGAAAGAGGAUAAACAAAAUGGGAUGGAAGGAAGUGCCAGUGACUUAUCCCUGAAGGAAGAAAUGUUUCAAUGGCAUGAGAGAAAUUGGUAGUCGGGAAUCCUUGGGUGAUCCAGGAAAAGUCUAUGCAAUGGGAGGCUUCUACCUAACAUGAGCUACUCCGCGGAGUUUGGUCUGCUUCAAGUUUUCUGGAGAGCCAAAAUUCUUACAGUUGCUGUGAAUGUUAAGCAGAGGACUUUGGGAACUUGCCAUUCCUUUGAAGCUAGACAAUCGGAGAGGAGGCAUUCCAAGAGGGAAGCAAGAAGGAGCUCCAUAUGUCCCACCUCCUGAAACACUCUUUCUUCUUCUUUUUAAACUGUUGGUGGGAUGUUGCAAUAUGUGUUUGAUCUUGGAAAACAACAGGGUGGUAAUACUACUUCCUUCAGUGUGGAUUUCUGUUGAUGCAACGUUGGAUGUUUUUGUCUGCAUCAUACUGUUGUCGACCGCGUUUUAGGGGAUCGGGCCCUUAAGGAGAGACUCGAUCCGGUCCUGAGAGAACGGACCUUGGCGAAGCCAAAAGGAGAAUUACGAGCCGCAAUACAACCUGAAGCCGAAAUGAAGAAGGUCCGCCAAAGUUGAAGGAAAAUCCGCCAAGGAGUCUUUAUUGAGCAAUUCAGCUGAAGAGGACUCUAGUAGCGAUCAUUCGGUCUACUAGGGUACCAUACAAUCAAAAUAAAGCCAUACUUAUACAAAAUUUCAGUCUGAC